rnacentral:rRNA from 1 species
UACGAAGGGGGCUAGCGUUGCUCGGAAUCACUGGGCGUAAAGGGUGCGUAGGCGGGUCUUUAAGUCAGGGGUGAAAUCCUGGAGCUCAACUCUGGAACUGCCUUUGAGACUGAAGAGCUUGAGUAUGGAAGAGGUGAGUGGAACUGCGAGUGUAGAGGUGAAAUUCGUAGAUAUUCGCAAGAACACCAGUGGCGAAGGCGGCUCACUGGUCCAUAACUGACGCUGAGGCACGAAAGCGUGGGGAGCAAACAGG